AACGAGCGCUGGCGGCAUGCCUAACACAUGCAAGUCGAACGAGACCUUCGGGUCUAGUGGCGCACGGGUGCGUAACGCGUGGGAACCUGCCCUUAGGUUCGGAAUAACUCCCCGAAAGGGGUGCUAAUACCGGAUAAUGUCUUCGGACCAAAGAUUUAUCGCCUUUGGGUGGGCCCGCGUUGGAUUAGCUAGUUGGUAGGGUAAAAGCCUACCAAGGCGACGAUCCAUAGCUGGUCUGAGAGGAUGAUCAGCCACACUGGGACUGAGACACGGCCCAGACUCCUACGGGAGGCAGCAGUGGGGAAUAUUGGACAAUGGGCGAAAGCCUGAUCCGGCAAUGCCGCGUGAGUGAUGAAGGCCUUAGGGUUGUAAAGCUCUUUUACCCGGGAUGAUAAUGACAGUACCGGGAGAAUAAGCUCCGGCUAACUCCGUG
rnacentral:rRNA from 1 species